rnacentral:rRNA from 1 species
GACGAAGGAUGCAAGCGUUAUCCGGAUUCAUUGGGCUUAAAGGGUGCGUAGGCGGCCUUGUAAGUCAGUGGUGAAAUCUCUUUGCUUAACAAAGAAACUGCCAUUGAUACUGCUAGUCUAGAGUAUAGAUGACGUUGGCGGAAUAUGACAUGUAGUGGUGAAAUACUUAGAUAUGUCAUAGAACACCGAUUGCGAAGGCAGCUAACGAAACUAUAACUGACGCUGAGGCACGAAAGUGCGGGGAUCAAACAGG